CACGGGGUGAAUUGACACCGAAUCCCGGAGCUUGGGCAGGAGCAGUGCCCAACACAGGAGAAACAGAUCGCACUAUCGGUCUGGAAACAUCACGCUCUACAAAUCUUGUACAAGAUCCGGCAAGCUGCUGCACAAUUCGGCAAGCUCGCACUGAGUUUUUCCUGCGGUGCGAACGCGAAUAAAAGUGUCCGAAGGAGGAACGUGUCAGCCAUCAUCCGGUUAGAGGAUCGAGGUCGGCAAGAUUGACCGCACACGACGGCGUAGUCAGCGAGUCCGGACCGAGCCACACACCGCGAAUUCACGGAGGAAAAACGGGUGUCCGGGCAGCGACCUGAAUACGGGUAGGACGAUCUGCACCAUUGCGAACUGGCAACCCACAUCUUUCCGAAGCGCUGAUUCCUUGGCCUGCACGUAUCCAUAGGAACGCUCCGGCUCUUGGUCACUCAACGGAAUCGAUCGGAUCACCCUGUUAUCCGUGCGCGGUGCCAAACGCUUCGCUUCAACUGAACCGUCUCGAGAAAAGGCCUUUCAUAGAAAGUAAGUCUAAUUGCUGCAACAAAACGAUCUGGGGCGGAUUUCCGCAGGGCCUUUUCUUUUGUCUUUUGGACUUUCACAGACAGUACUCCGACGGGUAAGCUGCCGACAAGUAAACACUCGCCAAGAUUGAGUGGCCACCACCUGACGCGUCCGGAAAAGCCGGUGUGCAGCGCAGCGAGAUGCGAUCUGUGGAGGGUUGUCGUCGUCCAAACUAAGAGCCGUUCGAUCGUCGGGAAUGGCCCAUGUCAGCAUCAGCCGGUCCGUGAGUAGCAAGUUAAGCAAAACAAUGUUUUAGUAUUAAGAAAGAAACCAGUUAGGCAGAAUAGGGUCAGUGCAGGAAUCUGAUUG